AAUAUGUGACAAUGGGGGCAACCCUGCACCAGCCAUGCCGCGUGUGUGACGAAGGUCUUCGGCUUGUAAAGCACUUUAAGUUGGGAGGAAGGGCUUUAGGUUAAUACCCUGAAGUUUUGACGUUACUAACAGACUAAUCACCGGCUAUCUCGUUGCCAGCAGCCGCGGUAAUACAGAGGGUGCAAGCGUUGACCGGAAUUACUGGGCGUAAAGCGCGCGUAGGUGGUUCAGUAAGUUGGCUGUGAAGUCCCCGGGCUUAACCUGGGAACUGCUUUCAUAACUGCUGAGCUAGAGUACGGUAGCGGGUAGUGGAAUUUCCUGUGUAGCGGUGAAAUGCGUAGAUAUAGGAAGGAACACCAGUGGCGAAGGCGACUACCUGGACUGAUACUGACACUGAGGUGCGAAAGCGUGGGGAGCAAA
rnacentral:rRNA from 1 species